AGAAUUAAACAUUCUUGGAUGUGACAUCUGUCACUCCAUUAUUCGUCAGGGUUGAUUUUGGGUGAUCUAGCUGGCUCGGUGGGUGCCCCCUUCCUCCCUCACUGCUCUGUGUGCGUCCCUCCCGAAGGUGGACACUUAGUGAAAGAGGAUAACCUUCACCAAAUAGAGACAUAUGGGUCUUUGGUCAAGGGUAUAUAAGUAGCUGCACUCCCCUGCUAGAACCUUCAGACAAGCUCUCAAGAACUAAAUGUUCUAGUGGCUCAGGUGGGUGGCUACAGCAUUAGACUUGCAAGCAUGAGGUCCUGAGUU
rnacentral:snRNA from 1 species